rnacentral:rRNA from 1 species
UGGGGAAUAUUGGACAAUGGGCGCAAGCCUGAUCCAGCCAUGCCGCGUGUGUGAAGAAGGUCUUCGGAUUGUAAAGCACUUUAAGUUGGGAGGAAGGUCAGUAGCUUAAUACGUUGCUGAUUUGACGUUACCGACAGAAUAAGCACCGGCUAACUCUGUGCCAGCAGCCGCGGUAAUACAGAGGGUGCAAGCGUUAAUCGGAAUUACUGGGCGUAAAGCGCGCGUAGGUGGUUUUGUAAGUUGGAGGUGA